GUGCUCGCUACGGCAGCACAUAUACUAAAA
rnacentral:snRNA from 1 species